rfam:Spinacia oleracea cultivar SynViroflay scaffold63235.con0010.1, whole genome shotgun sequence.
UGCCGGCUUUCCAUCAGCCGGGGUACUGAAGAGGCACACCAUCAUUGCCUGAAGUGCGGUCGGGUCAAUCCCUCCAAUCGAUGGCAGACAAAGCCGAAUGAUGCUCUGGCAGGGCAUCGUUCAUAUUCACGCCUUGAGCGUAUGCUAUCGA